UACGAAGGGUGCAAGCGUUACUCGGAAUCACUGGGCGUAAAGCGUGCGUAGGCGGUUCGUUAAGUCUGCUGUGAAAGCCCUGGGCUCAACCUGGGAACUGCAGUGGAUACUGGCGAGCUAGAGUGUGAUAGAGGAUGGUGGAAUUCCCGGUGUAGCGGUGAAAUGCGUAGAGAUCGGGAGGAACACCAGUGGCGAGGGCGGCCAUCUGGAUCAACACUGACGCUGAGGCACGAAAGCGUGGGGAGCAAACAGG
rnacentral:rRNA from 1 species